AAGGGAAGGAAGAGGAUCAAGGAGGAGUUUUGAGGCAGGACAUCGGUCCCCAUCCAAGAGGAUUCAUCAAGCUAGGGUACCUUCGCAAGUAAAGUUGGAGCGAGAAUUUCAAGUUAAAGGAACUAAAUGAUCCAGGUUGAGCAGCGAAGUGGUGGAGGAAGUGCUAUUGAGACAAGACAUUUAAUUCAGUCAGAUUU